GAAAACCACAGAUCAAAAAUAACACGCACACCCUUGAGAUCUUUCCUCUGCUUUCUUCAAGAUCUGAAACCCUAAAACCUUAUAUUCUCAAAACCUCUAAUCUACUGAGCAAUAUCCUUCAAAUACACACAGCCAAACACACUCGACCUCUCUCUCACCUCUCUCUCAAUACCGGUCGCCGGAAUCAGGCGGCGGUUCCAGCCACCCCCUUCUCUCGAUGACGUCCAACAACCACGGCCGGUGGUGUUUUCCAGCCACUCGACACCCCCCGCCCCCUCUGUACCACUUUAUACAUAACUCAACCGGAGUGAGAGAGAUCAGUGGAGUGAUCAGCGACGAAGAGAGAUCCAGUCGAAGAGAGAGAGAGAGGAACUCAAGAGAACGGAAAUGGCGGGUCGGCGUCGGUGGCGUGAGGAUUUCGCGUCGGAAUCGAAGGGGAUGUUAGUUACGAGCAUCGGAAUCAAGUAUCAAGGAUGGUGAUUACAGAUAACGAUGUUGACGAUGAUGGCCGACGGCGGCGGAGGUCGCCGGAGCUCCGGUGAGUCUCCUAAUACUUUGUUUAUUCAUUUUUUUCUUUGUUUUUCCGAUUAAUGAUGUUUAGUCCUUGAUUGGGUCGUAUAUCGGCUGAUGAGUGGGUUCCGGAGCUCCGAUUCAGGCAGGCACGUGUUCGGGUCAGAUUUCAGUUUUGAGUCAGACCCGGUUAACAGCAGUCAGUGAUUCUGGUUUGGGUUCGCGACUCAGUUCGAUGUUCGGGUCAAUGGCCAAAGUCAACAAUGGUCAACUGUUUGGGUCAACUCGGUUAAACCGAGUCGACUCAGUCAAACUCAGGUCAACAGUCAGUUGACCUGGUCAACUCAGUGCAGAUUGGUCCGAUUAACGUCGGUUAUGUUUUGGGUUCACGUUCGGGUUCCGGUUCAGUUUCGAGAUGAUCGGUUCAAAAUAGUCACAGUGAGCGGUUUGGGUUAGACUUGGCAGUCAAGGUCCGAUCAACAGCAGUCAACGCUGGUCGACUCACGAGACCCGGAAUGUCAUAGUUGCACGCUAGCUACUUCGCGUUCUUGGAACGACACUACGGAAGCACACUAAGUUAGCUUUGCACAAGAACAUCAAGGUUGCAUUUUCAAAACUGUGGAACGGUUGGAAUAGGAGAACCCAUGGGAAUUCGAGUACUUAGCGGCGUUCAUUUUCUAGAAGUAUUAGCUUAUUUGCUUCCGCUGCGCAAUGAAGAUACCGGUCCAGUCACGCCAAGCUCUGAUAUUUCGGGGUGUGACAAAAGGACCUUUCAAACAAGAUUUCGGGGGGUUACCCAUAUAUCCAAGAGGUUGUUACCCACAGAAUAAGCAAGUUUGAAAUUUAGGUUUAUAUCUCGUCACAAUUUACUAAAUGUGUAAAAACCUACUGACACAUACACAGUGAGAUUGUUUAUAACAUUUUAACUUUCCAUUUCUUUAGCAUGUUGUGAUAGUCCACUGAUGUACUACCAUUUCCUCUUUUAUGCAACAAAAA